rnacentral:lncRNA from 1 species
AUGAAACCAAGACCCAAAUUCUACAUGAGACAAACAUGAUCUUCUGUUCAAUAAGAACUAAACUUAACAGAUAAAUCUUUUCCAUCAUCACUUCCUUCUUUCCACCUCCAACGCUUGCCAACCAUUCAAAGAAAUACACCUUAACCUAGAACCUGAAGCUAACAUGAGAUUUAUAUAUAUUCAUAAAAAUAUGCUUGCAUGUGUAUUUUAUAUUCGGUCCUCCGAUUGCAUUGGCUAUUGGUGCUAAAUUUGUUCCAAUGAGCAAGCAUGGUAAAUAAUUGUAUUGUGGUCAUACGAAUAUGGAAAAAUCCAAUAAUUAUAAAUCACGAUACAAAUUGACUCUUAUUGUUCUCCAAUAUCCGGUCUCUACCAUUGACACAAGAUUCUUGUGCAUACUUUUAAACCACUUAAUGAGGCACACAUUAACCAAAAGUUUAGAGGGCAUAUAAUAACCUUUCUAGAUAUUAGCCACUGCAUCUCUGUCUUAUUAUUAUGAAUUCAAUAUACAACAAACAAGUGUAUGGUCAGAGUAAAAAAAGAUUUUGAAAAUCUUUACAAUAUUCCCUUUAAAAUAAGUGAGCUAAGACUAAAUUCUCUAUUUCACAAUAAAUUCUAUACAAAAUUGUCAAUUAAUUAUCAAAUAUCUUUCGUCUUAUUAAAAAAUGUAUUGAAAUGGUUAAUGAAGACACAUACAAAGCAUAGUAUAUAAAGCAUAAACUUGCAGGAUCUAUGGCCUAAUUUUUCCAAAUAAAAUAAAUUCCUAGGAUAAAGAUAUGUUCAUGAGAUGACAUCACAUGUCAUUGCUAACCAACAACGUGAACCAUGAGAAGGAUCAGGUGUCCUAAAAAUUUUCAGAUUUCCUACCGACUCAAACCAUAAAAUGCAUAUGGGCAAUCCAAUAAAAGUAAUUAUAGAAAGACAGAUCGACUCUUACCCAUCUCGAUACCAUCAUCAUCAUCAAAAAUAUAAUUUAUGUGAAGGUUAUAUUUGUAUUAUUAUGGCUGUGUUUUUCAUACAAUUUACUCAUAUUUCUUACGCAUACCUCAAUUUAUCAUUACAAAAGGAAUGGUGCAUCAAACGUAAAAGAUUCACCCAAACUCAAGAAAAUUAAAAUCAAAUGAAAGACGCAUGCAACUCUAAAAUGGAUUAACUUAAAAUUUUCAGUUUAUCAUUACUAAAUGAAUGGUGCAGCAAACGUAAAAGAAUAAAACAAAUCAAAAACUAGAAUUCGGUAUAAUUUAGAGGGAACACAUUAAGAUGAAAAUACUAUCAUACAGUAUGAGACUCAACUAAACAUUCAUGUCUUAUUAUGAAUAUUGUGAUGCUUAUAUUGAAUAACAUUUAAGUUAGUAUAUAUUCAAGUUAAUUUAAGAUCCAUGGCAUAAUAUAAAUUAUGCAUCUAGCUCUGACUUUAACUCCAAAAAUUAGGAAGCAAAAAAGUCCAGAAAGUAUAAUAGAAUAGAUAAACUAUGAAAGUUUCAUAACAAAUGCAACAAACUUGGUUAGUAGAUUAACCUUCAAUAUAGCGAGAUCGUCCUUUGCAUGAUCAACACCAAUUAACUUAUCCUCAAAGUUCUUCCAUAGACGAGGAAAAAUUAUGAAAAAGAAAAAUAAGGGAAAUCAACAAGAAAAAAAGAAGUUGGAAUGGCUGUAAAUAGCAGUUUAGGAAGCAAAACAUUAUACAUAUGUCCUAUUGAGUAAAAAUUUAACCUUUGGGCUGUAGUUUGUACACAAAAGUUUGUACAUAUGUCCUACUGACUAAAUGAAUCACAAUUCAAUAUUAGCUAUUUCAUGA